rnacentral:rRNA from 1 species
AAGGGCGCAUGGUGAAUGCCUUGGCAUCAGGAGCCGAUGAAGGACGCGAUAAGCUGCGAUAAGCUUCGGGUAGACGCACAUAGUCAGAGAUCCGAAGAUUUCCGAAUGAGGAAACUCACAUGGGAAACCCCAUGUAUCAUAAAGUGAAU